rnacentral:misc_RNA from 1 species
GAUGAAGAACGCAGCGAAAUGCGAUAAGUAAUGUGAAUUGCAGAAUUCAGUGAAUCAUCGAAUCUUUGAACGCACAUUGCGCCCCUUGGUAUUCCGGGGGGCAUGCCUGUUCGAGCGUCAUUUCAACCCUCAAGCUUCUGCUUGGUCUUGGGCCGUGCCGGCAACGGCUGGCCUUAAAACUAGUGGCGGUGCCAUCGAGCUCUACGCGUAGUAAUUCUAUCUUGCGUCUGGGCUUCGGUGGACGCUGGCCAGCAACCCCCAAUUUUCUAUGGUUGACCUCGGAUCAGGUAGGGAUACCCGCUGAACUUAAGCAUAUCAAUAAGCGGAGGA